GUCGAACGAGAGAAGAGAAGCUUGCUUUUCUGAUCUAGUGGCGGACGGGUGCGUUACACGUGAGCAAUCUGCCUUUCAGAGGGGGAUACCGAUUGGAAACGAUCGUUAAUACCGCAUAACAUAAUUGAACCGCAUGAUUUGAUUAUCAAAGAUUUAUCGCUGAAAGAUGAGCUCGCGUCUGAUUAGCUAGUUGGUAAGGUAACGGCUUACCAAGGCGACGAUCAGUAGCCGGACUGAGAGGUUGAUCGGCCACAUUGGGACUGAGACACGGCCCAGACUCCUACGGGAGGCAGCAGUGGGGAAUAUUGCACAAUGGAGGAAACUCUGAUGCAGCGAUGCCGCGUGAGGGAAGAAGGUUUUAGGAUUGUAAACCUCUGUCUUCAGGGACGAAAAAAGACGGUACCUGAGGAGGAAGCUCCGGCUAACUACGUGCCAGCAGCCGCGGUAACACGUAGGGAGCGAGCGUUGUCCGGAAUUACUGGGUGUAAAGGGAGCGUAGGCGGGAUCGCAAGUCAGAUGUGAAAACUAUGGGCUUAACCCAUAAACUGCAUUUGAAACUGUGGUUCUUGAGUGAAGUAGAGGUAAGCGGAAUUCCUAGUGUAGCGGUGAAAUGCGUAGAUAUUAGGAGGAACAUCAGUGGCGAAGGCGGCUUACUGGGCUUUAACUGACGCUGAGGCUCGAAAGCGUGGGGAGCAAACAGGAUUAGAUACCCUGGUAGUCCACGCCGUAAACGAUGAUUACUAGGUGUGGGGGGACUGACCCCUUCCGUGCCGCAGCAAACGCAAUAA
rnacentral:rRNA from 1 species